UGAAAUAUAAAAAAGAAGAUGUGGUAUGAUUGCCAAUGAGACAACUAUCCACAAAAGACCAAAAUGACACAGACAUUAACAACUAUAGGUCACCGUACGGCCUUCAACAAUGAGCAAAGCCCAUACCGCAUAGUCAGCUAUAAAAGGCCCCGAUAAGACAAUGUAAAACAAUUCAAACGAGAAAACUAACGGCUUUAUUUAUGUAAAAAAAAUUAACGAAAAACAAAUAUGUAACACAUAAACAAACGACAACCACUGAAUUACAGGCUCCUGACUUGGGACAGGCACAUACAUAAAUAAUGUGGCGGGGUUUAA
rnacentral:lncRNA from 1 species